GAUGAACGCUAGCUACAGGCUUAACACAUGCAAGUCGAGGGGCAGCAUUUCAGUUUGCUUGCAAACUGGAGAUGGCGACCGGCGCACGGGUGAGUAACACGUAUCCAACCUGCCGAUAACUCGGGGAUAGCCUUUCGAAAGAAAGAUUAAUACCCGAUGGCAUAAUUAGACCGCAUGGUCUUAUUAUUAAAGAAUUUCGGUUAUCGAUGGGGAUGCGUUCCAUUAGGCAGUUGGUGAGGUAACGGCUCACCAAACCUUCGAUGGAUAGGGGUUCUGAGAGGAAGGUCCCCCACAUUGGAACUGAGACACGGUCCAAACUCCUACGGGAGGCAGCAGUGAGGAAUAUUGGUCAAUGGGCGCAGGCCUGAACCAGCCAAGUAGCGUGAAGGAUGACUGCCCUAUGGGUUGUAAACUUCUUUUAUAUGGGAAUAAAGUUUUCCACGUGUGGAAUUUUGUAUGUACCAUAUGAAUAAGGAUCGGCUAACUCCGUGCCAGCAGCCGCGGUAAUACGGAGGAUCCGAGCGUUAUCCGGAUUUAUUGGGUUUAAAGGGAGCGUAGGUGGACAGUUAAGUCAGUUGUGAAAGUUUGCGGCUCAACCGUAAAAUUGCAGUUGAUACUGGCUGUCUUGAGUACAGUAGAGGUGGGCGGAAUUCGUGGUGUGGCGGUGAAAUGCUUAGAUAUCACGAAGAACUCCGAUUGCGAAGGCAGCUCACUGGACUGCAACUGACACUGAUGCUCGAAAGUGUGGGUAUCAAACAGGAUUAGAUACCCUGGUAGUCCACACAGUAAACGAUGAAUACUCGCUGUUUGCGAUAUACAGUAAGCGGCCAAGCGAAAGCAUUAAGUAUUCCACCUGGGGAGUACGCCGGCAACGGUGAAGCUCAAAGGAAUUGACGGGGGCCCGCACAAGCGGAGGAACAUGUGGCUUAAUUCGAUGAUACGCGAGGAACCUUACCCGGGCUUAAAUUGCAUUUGAAUAUAUUGGAAACAGUAUAGCCGUAAGGCAAAUGUGAAGGUGCUGCAUGGUUGUCGUCAGCUCGUGCCGUGAGGUGUCGGCUUAAGUGCCAUAACGAGCGCAACCCUUAUCUUUAGUUACUAACAGGUCAUGCUGAGGACUCUAGAGAGACUGCCGUCGUAAGAUGUGAGGAAGGUGGGGAUGACGUCAAAUCAGCACGGCCCUUACGUCCGGGGCUACACACGUGUUACAAUGGGGGGUACAGAAGGCAGCUACCUGGUGACAGGAUGCUAAUCCCAAAAGCCUCUCUCAGUUCGGAUCGAAGUCUGCAACCCGACUUCGUGAAGCUGGAUUCGCUAGUAAUCGCGCAUCAGCCAUGGCGCGGUGAAUACGUUCCCGGGCCU
rnacentral:rRNA from 1 species